rnacentral:lncRNA from 1 species
UGAUCUGGGUUUACCAAUCAGCUUGUUAUAUUAAUGUUUUUAUUCUUACAGGACAAUUGGAACAAUAUAAAGGGCAUGGAAGAGUCUUAUUUCACCUAGGGUAAAUGUGAUGGCUGAAUUUUUAGUGCAUUGUCUUAUCAGUUGCUGAAUACUUUUUUCAGGGUUGCUGAAACAUUACACCCAGAAGCUGGAUGGCAAUCUAAGUGAUUUUUCAACCUUGAGAAGUUGACAGACUGCGAAAGAAGACUUGUUCAAUACAGAGGCUCAGCACUUAUGGAGGUCUGCAGAGCAACAGUUUGUCCUCCCUUCUUUCUGCUGCCAUCAUAUGAGAGAACACCCUCUCUGAUACCUAUGUUCUCAUGCUGCUACUGCUUGGAGUGCCCUAUGCUGAUAAUCACCAGUGACGUUACUGGGCUGGAUGCAGCAGGAGUUACAAAGCAAGGGGUGUUAGAGGAUCUGAUAGUAGGCAGAGUGGGGAGGAAAGCUCCAAUUCUAAUCACUAAGGGGUUGAAAGAAUGAUGAGUAACUGUGAAGCUGAGGCUGGAGGUACAGCAGAAAUGACUUAUCCUGGAUAACUUUACGUUUGUAAUGUGUGUAGAUUGCACUGCAGCAUUUAGAAAUAACUGACAUGCAG